GGCUUGAUGAUAAUAAUUUUAAGUCGAUCUGCCCAAUGAUUAAUAUUAAAUGGCUGCAGUAUAAUUAACUGUACAAAGGUAGCAUAAUCGAUUGUUUUUUAAUUGGAAUCUGGAAUGAAAGAAUUAAUGAGAUAUAUACUGUCUCAUAUAUAUUUAAUGAAUUUAAAUUUUUAGUAAAAAUGCUUAAAUAAAUUUAUGGGACGAUAAGACCCUAUAGAAUUUUAUAUUAAUAUAUAGAUAAAUAAUUUUUAUAUAUUAAUAUUUAGUUGGGAGGAUUGGUAAAUUUAUUAAACUUUAUUUUAAAAUUUUAACUUUAAUUUGAGAAUAAAUAAUGAUCUUGUAUUAUAAAUUAUAAGAUUAAAUUACCUUAGGGAUAACAGCGUAAUAUCUUUUGAAAGAUCUUAUUGAUAAAGAUGAUUGCGACCUCGAUGUUGAAUUAAGAUAAAUUUUAAAUGAAGAAAUUUAAUAAUUAAGUCUGUUCGACUUUUAAAAUCUUACAUGAUUUGAGUUCAAAUCGACGUGAGU
rnacentral:rRNA from 1 species